AUGCUCGCUUUGACAGCACAUAUACUAAAAUUGGAAUGAUACAGGAAGAUUAGCGUGGCUCCUGUGCAAGGAUGAUAUGCAAAUUUGUGAAGUGUUCCAUAUUUAA